rnacentral:misc_RNA from 1 species
GAUGAAGAACGUAGUGAAAUGCGAUACUUGGUGUGAAUUGCAGAAUCCCGUGAACCAUCGAGUCUUUGAACGCAAGUUGCGCCCGAAGCCAUUAGGCCGAGGGCACGCCUGCCUGGGCGUCACACGUCGUUGCCCCCCCAUCUACUCCUUCGGGAUUGCGGGGGGCGGAUGAUGGCCUCCCGUGCGCCUCGCCGCGCGGUUGGCAUAAAUGCCAAGUCCUCGGCGACGCACGCCACGACAAUCGGUGGUUGCGAAACCUCGGUUGCCCGUCGUGUGCGGUCGUCGCGCAUCGAGGGCUCGAAAAAAUUGCCGGGUUCCGGCUCGGCUUUCAACGCGACCCCAGGUCAGGCGGGGUUACCCGCUGAGUUUAAGCAUAUCAAUAAGCGGAGGA